AGCUUUGUGCAGUGGCAGUAUCAUAGCCAAUGAGGUUUAUCCGAGGCGCGAUUAUUGCUAAUUGAAAUUGAUCACUCUAGGGGCACCUGGGUGGCUCAGUCAGUGAAGCAACCGACUCUUG
rnacentral:snRNA from 1 species